GUCUGGUUGUGCUAUUAAAGCGUCACAGCACUAACCGGACCCCUGGAACUACAUUGCAUUGGGUGGCCCUAACAGCAUGGGCCACCCGAUGGGCCCUUAACCCCUUAAGGACCAAACUUCUGGAAUAAAAGGGAAUCAUGACACGUCACAUGUUGUCAGGUAUAGCAUGGCAUGUAUUUCGCCGUCGGAACCCACUUUCGGGUUCACGGCGCUUAGCCCCGCCCCUUUUUUCUGAC